rnacentral:lncRNA from 1 species
GUGGGAAAUGGUAGCGCAUAGCUUGUUGUAUGCAUAUUGUUCCACUGAACAAUAGCAUAUGAUAAGGGAUUUAAAAUUUGAUGCUGCGUCUGCUACAUUAACACGUCAAUGUGCUUGGUUGCGAGAUCGUCUUAUGUAUUGCGUGUUUUAUGCUACAUGAACAUAUAUCUGUGUGAUUGGUCGUGUGAUUGUUUUAUUUUUG